UACGUAGGGCGCAAGCGUUGUCCGGAAUUAUUGGGCGUAAAGAGCUCGUAGGCGGUUUGUCGCGUCUGCUGUGAAAACCUAAGGCUCAACCUUGGGCUUGCAGUGGGUACGGGCAGACUAGAGUGCGGUAGGGGUGACUGGAAUUCCUGGUGUAGCGGUGGAAUGCGCAGAUAUCAAGAGGAACACCUGAGGUGAAGACGGGUUGCUGGGCCAACACUGACGCUGAUGCGCGAAAGCCAGGGGAGCAAACGGG
rnacentral:rRNA from 1 species